rnacentral:rRNA from 1 species
UGGGGAAUAUUGGACAAUGGGCGCAAGCCUGCUCCAGCCAUGCCGCGUGAGUGAUGAAGGCCCUCGGGUUGUAAAGCUCUUUCACCGGUGAAGAUAAUGACGGUAACCGGAGAAGAAGCCCCGGCUAACUUCGUGCCAGCAGCCGCGGUAAUACGAAGGGGGCUAGCGUUGUUCGGAUUUACUGGGCGUAAAGCGCACGUAGGCGGACUAUUAAGUCAGGGGUGAAAUCCCGGGGCUCAACCCCGGAACUGCCUUUGAUACUGGUAGUCUUGAGUUCGAGAGAGGUGAGUGGAAUUCCGAGUGUAGAGGUGAAAUUCGUAGAUAUUCGGAGGAACACCAGUGGCGAAGGCGGCUCACUGGCUCGAUACUGACGCUGAGGUGCGAAAGCGUGGGGAGCAAACAGG